GGAACGAAUACAACCAAAAUCCUUUCGAGCUGUACAGUGAGAAUGAAUUUAAAAGAAGGUACCGUUUUUUUAAACACACGGUACUAAAUGUGAUCCUGCCACUGAUAAUUACAAACUUACAACCUUUUAAUAACAGAGGAUUGCCAAUUCUACCGCAAUUGCAAAUACUUAUUGCAUUAAGGUUUUAUGCAACUGGAUGUUUUCAGAUGGUGUGUGGUGAUUUGAACAGCAUAAGCCAAUCUUCAGUGUGCUUAAUUGUAAAUAAAGUUUCCGCAGAGUUGAGUAAAUUACUUCCUAGAUUUGUGAAUUUUCCAAGAAAUAUGACCACAGUCAAAAGGAAGUUUGAAGAAUUAGGAAAAUCUAAUACGCACCAUGGCCUAAAUAAUAUAAUCGGAGCUAUUGACUGUACCCACAUUAAAAUUAAUAGACCCAGAGGUAUCACCCACUCUGAAGCAUACAGGAAUAGAAAAGGGUAUUUUUCUGUAAAUGUGCAAGCUAUAAUAGGGCCUGAUCUCGAAAUAUUUGAUAUAGUGACUAGGUGGCCUGGAAGUUCACACGACAGCAGGAUAUUUAGAAACAGCCAGGCGUAUGCAAGACUGGUAAAUGGUGAACUAGAAGGAGUUUUAGUAGGUGACAGCGGCUAUCCAGCACUGAACUUCAUGUUAACACCACUUUUGAAUCCACAAACAAGAGCUGACAAUAAUUAUAAUUAUUCUCAAUUGAGAACUAGGAAUAUUGUUGAAAGGUUUUUCGGAGUGUGGAAAAAGAAAUUUCCAUGUUUGCAGAGAGGACUACGAUCAAAAUUGACAAAUACCAGCAACAUAAUUAUAGCUUGUGCUGUAUUACAUAAUAUAGGUAUACAGAGAGGGGAUGUUUAUGACGAUGGUGAUCUUACUGAUCAAACACCAGAAGUCGAACAACACAGAAACAAUGAAAGAUCUACUACAGGUCUAGCAUUCCGGCAAUCUGUGAUUGCACAAUUUAACUAGGUUGGUUUGGUAAUAAAGAAAAUUAAAACAAAAA